ensembl:snoRNA SNORD116 Small nucleolar RNA SNORD116
GGAUGGAUGAUGACACGUCAGUUACACUUCUUUGAGCUGAACAGGAUGAGUGAGAACUGCAAACUGUCCCUCUCACCAUGACUGAGGUCU